UUAAUUGCUCUUCCUAAGUUCCGUGGAUCGGUAGCUGAAAAUAUUUAACAUUUUGUAAAAUUUAACUACAGUGCAUUUUAUAAAACUUGAAACUUUACAUUGAAAUAGAUGACAAUUCGUUCUAAAGUGCUAGCAAGACUAUUCGUAUAAUCGUUAAAUUCAAUGACUUAAAGAGUGAUUGGAUGAUUUUUUGCCAAUCUGCAGCCAUAUGCACUAAUUAAUAACAAAAGAAAAGGAGCAAAAAGAUUUAAUCACUAUUCUACCAAUAUAAAUGAAGAGAGUUAAUCAUAAGAGAAAAAAUGACAACAACAAUGCGAAAUGUCAGCAACUGCCUAAAUGCACAUCCAAUAAGAAAUCUUCGAAUUGAAUUCAAGAGUUGGCCAUCUUUUCCAGCAUCAAAAGUGGACACUCCUCGAAAAAUAUUUUUAUCUAUUGGAUUUAUUUUCCAUCGCAGAGUGCAAAAAGUCACGUGCAUCAUUCAAUUAAACUAAUUAUAAUUGCUAUGUCGACAGGAUUGAAGGUACUCCUAGAUGCUGCUCAGUAUAUUGAGCAUCAAGAGAAACUGAAGAGGUCUCCAACUACUGCCUCAAAUGGAUCUGUCGGGGAACCCUAUAUUAAUCAAUGCUCUUUGGGUUUUGAUAUAGCAAAUGGUGUUCGCAAUAACAACAAUAAUGUUAUGAAUGCAAGAAAUACACGAUCCACUACGGAUUUGGUUAAAGUUUCCUCUUCUGCCCCAACUGCAAGUACUACGUUUCAUCACAUUACAAACGGGGUGAUCAUAACUAACAAUAACAGUUCUCUUACUGGAAGCCAACUGCUAGUUGAAAUGAAACCUAGUCAGCGUAAGCAUAACAACAACAGAACUAUGAAUGAAUACGAUGGAACAAUUGAAGCCUUGAAAGCCAGCCCAAAAAUACUAAAUUCCUCCAAACAGUUAUCAAUACAAACGAAUACUACGACUGAUAGUGCUGUCAAUGAAACUAGCAUAUCCGAGGAUGCUUUUUCCUCAAAUUCAAAGUCAUCUCCAGAAUCAGAGAAUGGGCUGACUGCCUUAUUUUCAAUACGACCUACUGUUCGAUGUUCAAGUGAACCACAAGAACAUCAGCAGCCACCUGCGACAGAAGAGGAGCUAACUAAGGGGAAGAAUGAGCAGUUCAAAAAGUCAAAAGCAUAUAGACUUGUAGAUAGUGACAGUUGCGAUAUUGUUGUCGUGACCGCUGCUGCUAACAAACAAAUGUUACUGAAUGAUGGUCUGCGCGUUGCAUCGCCGGCGGCUAAUACAUAUUCUAUACCGUCUAAGGCGAUAAGCAUACCUAAACAAGCACAGCAGCAUCACUCGGUAGCCUCCAAAUUUUCGCUGAUCAACAGCACCUCAGCCCCACAGUCAAUAAUUUAUAAGCCUUCCGAACCUCUUACCCCACCGCCUAUUGCGUGUAGAAAAGUUGAUGAAACGCAUUCACGGAUACGCAGUUUCUCACUUUCCCAUAAAAUUCCAGCCAACCAACCACUUUUAAAAAAUGGAGAGCUUGGGAAAAUGAUCAUUGAAGAUGGAAACGCAUUACGUUGCAUUGAAGACGACGAAACAUUGACAAGACACAACUCGACUGGUAGUCACUAUUUACAGAUGAUGUCAGCACAACAUUCGGCAACUACUAAUCCACUAUUGCACAUGACUCCCAUGAUAAGUGCCAGCGGUCGAAGGCGAACUAUAAGUUCCAAUAGCAAUGGGGCUGGUACCCGUGAAGUGCACAAUAAGUUGGAAAAAAACCGGCGUGCACAUCUCAAAGAAUGCUACGAGCAGUUAAAAAAUCAACUCCCAUUAAAGGAAGACGAACGUAAAAAGACGUCAAAUUUGGCUAUACUUGGUGAAGCAAUUAAAUAUGUAAAAACUCUUAAAAAGAAAGAUCAGGAACUUGAAGCUGAAGUAGAACAGUUAGCAAAAAUGAAAAUAAAUUCACAGCUUAAGCUUGUGUCAUUAAAACGAGAACUGGGUCCAAAGUAUGAGCAAAUGUUUCCAGGUCCCUUUUUGGAUUUUGAUUUGAACAAUUGCGAAAAAGAUAAUUCAAAUGAAACCCGGUCUCUUUCGUCUGGACGUGGAAGCAUACUUUAUAGUUCGUCAAGCUCGUUAUCAAGCGGCGGCAGUAAUGGAAGUACGACGAUGUCCUCACCAGUCGGCGCUAGUAUGCCCCAGCCCUCUGCUCUAUCACCUGUGAUAUCUAAAGCUUGCAUAAAUAACAAUAUUUCGAGCAGUGUGAAUGGCAACAAUAGCUCUUCCAAUAUUAAUGUGGCUACAAAGUCUCCCGCCGUAUUUGAACACAAGCAACAGCAGAUUAAGUCAUCCGCUUCAAUAUCAGAUUAUACUAGUCCAACCGGUACGUCACCUACAAAUACAAGUGUUGCAUUGGCAAACAGAAGUAUUACAAAUGUAAGCAAUGCGGCGCUUUCGUUGACAGCUAAAAACAUUUCGGCUAUGUCACUUACACGUGACUCACCAACACCAUCAACUCCAUCUCCAUCACCGUCAUCUUCGAGUUGUGUUUCAUCGUCAUCAUCUUUAAUAUCAUCAUCUCCGCCACGUCCUUUAAAUGGUAUAAUUAGCGGACGGAGUGUGACAGUCAGUAUUCCAAAUAAUGUAAAAUUUGCAAGCUCUGGGCUUGGUACUAGUCGAGUAAUAGCUCCGGUUACAGCAUCAACCAUUGUUAAUGCAACAACAUCGACAACAACGACCAUAUUAUCGGCAUCUUCGCCCAACAAUGGUGUUAAUUCUACAAAUAAUGCUAUAAUGCUCCAAGCUUUACGGGGAUGCCAUUUAGUGUGAACCAUGUUCGUGAAUUAUCCCUACGAGCGUAAUGUCGGCCGUAUUCUCAAUCAUAGAUAUCAUAUUCGGCAUUCAAGCAUAUACCAACAGAUGAUAGAAAAUCGAAGAAAUACAGAAUGCAAAAUUUAAUGAUAAAAAGAUGCUAUUCCAAUAGAGGGUGUCACUAAAAACAAAAUAAGUAAAUAUUCAUACAGAUGACAAGAAAAACGUUAAAAUUUACACCCUUAGAAAUACACAUACACAUACAUACAUAAAUAAAUAACAUAUUUGUGCUACUGUCUUAAGAUCAAGGUCUCACAUAGACAAAGGUCGAAUAGCAAGAUUUUCUGUAAAGUGAAAGCCAAUUUAAAGUUUACAUGUGCAAUAUAACGAAUAGCAGCAGUGAACAACGACUAUCAUCGACAAUAACAGUCGAUAUUGUACAUACAUACGUAUAUUGUUUGUAAACGUAAAUAACCACGAGAUGAAGAAACCUCAAUGGUACUGUGCAUUUAAAACGACUGUUAUCCUGGAUACAAACAUGGUUUAAACUUGCCAGUUAAUAUCUUAAGUUUAAAUAUAAUGAGAGUAUGCGAAUAUUGAAUUUUACUUGCAAGGAAAAACAUUGUGUUUACAUAAAUUAUUUAUUUACUGGAUCGUCAUUAAAAAUACAAAACGAUAUAAUAAUUUUUCAUCAUCUUUGAUAUCAGGCCUGAAUAAUACUGUAUUGCAAAUUAGCCAUUAUUUUGGUACAAUUAAAUAAAUUAAUUUGUAUGCAAAUUAUACAUAUUUGGUCAUCGUUAGCAUAUAGUAUACAUACGUAUGUACAUACAUUACCUCAAUGAUAAUUGUAAUUAACGAGGUUCGCAUCCAUAAUUUGGAAUAUAUAUGACACCACCGUAAGUAAGCGAUUCAGUAGCUGAUGAUAUGUCGGCGGGUAGAAACGCAGUUGCAACAAGAACCACCAAUGGACAAAAUACAAAUUUACUCUUAUUUUUCUAAUAAUAUCUACUUAUAUCUGUCUAUGUACACCAUUAAGACCAACGUUAAUGAGUAGAAAACAAUAUCUAUUGCAUUAACGGUCUCCACAAUAUUCAUGUUAUUAUACGGACACAUACCAUGUACAUUUGUACAAAUUCGUAUGCUACUGAAUUUUAUCGAAACUCGUAAUAUACAUAUAAACAUAUACAUCAUUUAAACAAUAAAUGUUAAGAAACACGCAUACGUAUGUACAAUUGAAACAGAUUUGAAAACAAAAUAACAUAGAGAAUAAAGGUCUUAGAGUCCCGCACUAAUAAAAAUUAACUUUCAAUGCAUAAUUAUGUGUUAUAACUAAUAAGGCAGGGCAAAUAAUUAAGUGGCAAAAAAAAAAAAAAAUAAAUAAAUAAAAUGAAUGAGCAAGGAAACAAACAUAACGGUCCUUUAGAAACGGAAUUCGACUUGAGAACGCAGUGUACGUUUUUAUACACAAGAAUCUACAUACAUAAGUAUGUACAAUAUGUAUUUAUAAGUGUAUAUAUAUAUAUUAUAUAUAUAAGAUUAGAAUUACUAUUGUACUUUAGGUCAUGGAAAGUAAAUUUAAUAAAUUAUAAUUAAACACUACA
rnacentral:misc_RNA from 1 species